ACGGAAGGCAGCAGUGAGGAAUAUUGGUCAAUGGGCGAGAGCCUGAACCAGCCAAGUCGCGUGAAGGAUGAAGGUUCUAUGGAUUGUAAACUUCUUUUGUUCGAGGGUAAAGUGAGGGAUGCGUCCCUUAUUGCAAGUAUCGAACGAAUAAGCAUCGGCUAACUCCGUGCCAGCAGCCGCGGUAAUACGGAGGAUGCGAGCGUUAUCCGGAUUUAUUGGGUUUAAAGGGUGCGUAGGCGGGAUGUUAAGUCAGCGGUGAAAGCGUGUAGCUCAACUAUACCAAGCCGUUGAAACUGGCGUUCUUGAGUGUAAACGAGGUAGGCGGAAUGUGACGUGUAGCGGUGAAAUGCUUAGAUAUGUCACAGAACCCCGAUUGCGAAGGCAGCUUACCAGCGUACAACUGACGCUGAGGCACGAAAGUGCGGGGAUCAAACAGGAUUAGAUACCCUGGUA
rnacentral:rRNA from 1 species